rnacentral:rRNA from 1 species
UACGAAGGGGGCUAGCGUUGCUCGGAAUCACUGGGCGUAAAGGGUGCGUAGGCGGGUCUUUAAGUCAGGGGUGAAAUCCUGGAGCUCAACUCCAGAACUGCCUUUGAUACUGAAGAUCUUGAGUCCGGAAGAGGAGAGUGGAAUUCCUGGUGUAGCGGUGAAAUGCGCAGAUAUCAGGAAGAACACCCGUGGCUAAGGCGGCUCUCUAGUACGGUACUGACGCUGAGACGCGAAAGCGUGGGGAGCGAACAGG